AUUGCCUCCAAAUCAAAGGUUGCUCCACUAAAACGGUUGUCCAUUCCUCGCCUGGAACUUUCUGCGGCUGUUUUGGCGACGAGACUGUACAACAAAGUAGUCGAAGCAUUCGACAUGUCGAUUGAAGCCUCCUAUUUCUGGUCCGAUUCGUCCGUGACACUAGAAUGGCUACGCUCACCGCCCCAUACGUGGAAGACCUUCAUCGCCAAUCGAGUUUCUGAAAUACAAACAACACAAAAUGGAAUAUGGAAUCAUAUAAUGGGAGUUCAAAAUCCUGCUGACCUGAUCACGAGGGGAAUGAAAGUGAGAGACUUUAUUCGAAGUGACUUGUGGCAUCAUGGAUCAUCCUGGUUGAAGCUCCCGUCGCAAGAUUGGCCAAUAUCCAAAACACAACGAAGUCAUUCUGAAGAAGUUCUAGAAAAAAGAAAGAUUAUUGCUGCAACUCUCCUAAGCAUAAAACCAAACCCAAUUUUCGAUCGUGCUUCGUCCUUCAUGCGUCUGAUAAGAGUAACCGCAUACUGCCUCCGAUUCAUAGCAUCGUGUCGUCGUGGAACAUCCAGUGAACCUGAAAGAAAAACCAAAAUACUUACCGUCGAAGAAAUAUCCAAAUCCCGCAUGAAACUCAUAUGUUAAGCCCAAGGAGAUGAAUUCAAAGAGGAGAUAGAAAACCUCAAAAAGAAGAAAACUGUAUCAAAACAUUCUAACCUUCGACUUCUCAGUCCAUUCAUCGAUACAGAGGGAGUACUGAGGGUUGGGGGGAGAUUGAACCUUUCAGAGCAGCCUUAUCUAGUAAAGCACCCUAUCCUACUUCCAUCUUUCCAUCCACUAACAAAAAUAGUAGCCCGACAUUACCACGAGAAAGUGCUGCAUGGUGGCGGCCGUGUCACCCUUGCAGCCAUUCGUCAAUAAUAUUGGCCCAUCAGCGGCCGAAAGGUGAUAAGCCAUAUCAUCCGCAACUGCUUUCGAUGUUUCCGUGGCAAUCCAAUGCCAGCAAGACAACAAGUCGGUCAACUUCCAUCCCAGCGCGUCACACCUAGCAGGCCGUUCACUGUGUCUGGCGUUGAUUAUGCUGGCCCAGUAUAUUUGAAGCCAAUACAUAGACGAGCAGCACCAACGAAAGCAUACAUCAGCGUCUUUGUUUGCUUUUCCACCAAAGCUGUACACAUCGAGCUCGUCGGGGAUCUGUCCACGCUUUCGUUUUUAGCACCUUUAAAGCGAUUUAUUUCCCGACGUGGCUGUCCUGUCCAUAUCCAUUCCGACAAUGGAACCAAUUUUGUGGGUGUUAGAAACGAAUUAAACGAAUUAUAUAGAUUAUUACAGAAGGAAAAACAAGACGGUGAAAUUACCUCAUUCUGUGCAAAUAACAGCAUCCAAUGGCAUCUGAUACCGCCCAAAGCACCUCAUUUCGGAGGAUUAUGGGAUGCUGCAGUCAAGGUGGCAAAAAGGCAUCUGCAUCGUCAACUACGAGACGCCAUGUUAUCCUUCGAGGAUAUGUCAACAAUAUUAACACAGAUCGAGGCUUGCAUGAAUUCACGUCCGCUUACCCCAAUGACGGAAAAUCCUGACGAUUUGGCGAUUCUAACUCCAGCUCACUUCCUCAUCGGCAGCUCACUCUCCGCUCUCCCCGAUCCAGACCUCACGCAUAUUCCAACGAAUCGAUUGGACCACUAUCACUGUUGCCGCUGGGUGCACUGUUCCAAGUAUGCGUUCCAAAUGGUCACCCUAAAUGAACUUGACGGCAAAUGUCAUCGACGAACGCGCGGCGUGAGAGCUGUCAUCGAAAAGAAGAGAGAGAAAGAGAAAACUAUUUCCGGCAACGAACGCUAAAGAGAAUACAAGUUCAAACUUGAAACAGUGAAGAAUAUUUUUGUUAGAUUUAAAACGUAGAUUACAAAACUCGUAUUUGCUCACAAUUGUAGUUGAGAUACCGUUGUAUUUGUUGAAUCAGUGAAUUUCUUCCAAAUUUAUUUAUCGUAAGAACACCGAAUGUUUUAAAGCUGCGCUAAACCUAUAGUUGCAGUGUUUUUUGCUGCUAAGAACCCGGUGUCCGACAAAGAAAAAUCAUCGUUUUUCGCCCCAACAAUCACUACAUCCAGCAACGCGUCCAACGAUUUUGGCAUCAAUGGAGAACGGAGUACCUGGUAGAGCUGCAAAAGGAAAACAAACGCAUAAUACCCAACAACGCGAUCAAACCCGGCCGAAUGGUGAUUCUCAUCGAUGAAUACUUAGCUCCAGUCAAGUGGCCUCUCGCCCGCAUAAUAGACGUCCAUCCUGGCAAGGACAAUCUGGUUCGAGUAGUCACGCUACGCACAUCCAAGGGAUUCCUCCGCCGUCCGAUCACGAAGAUUUGCUAACUGCCCUACGAAGAGGAACUAGCAGCAACAGCAGACCGUAGAACACCAAACCAAACAUUGUAAAACACAAGAAAUAUGAAAUCAACUUACCUGAGCUUUUCACUACACAACACUGGUUAUAAACAAAUCACUAAUAGCGAAUUCGUUUUUAAAACUGAGUCAGUGCCAAACUGACUCUGUAAUAAAAAAACGUUUUCAGUUUCACGAA